UACGGAGGGUGCAAGCGUUAAUCGGAAUAACUGGGCGUAAAGCGCACGUAGGCGGUUUGCUAAGCUAGAUGUGAAAGCCCCGGGCUCAACCUGGGAACUGCAUUUAGAACUGGCGAACUAGAGUCUUGUAGAGGGGGGUAGAAUUCCAGGUGUAGCGGUGAAAUGCGUAGAGAUCUGGAGGAAUACCGGUGGCGAAGGCGGCCCCCUGGACAGAGACUGACGCUCAGGUGCGAAAGCGUGGGGAGCAAACAGG
rnacentral:rRNA from 1 species